rnacentral:rRNA from 1 species
UGGGGAAUAUUGGACAAUGGGCGCAAGCCUGAUCCAGCCAUGCCGCGUGAGUGAUGAAGGCCCUAGGGUUGUAAAGCUCUUUCACCGGUGAAGAUAAUGACGGUAACCGGAGAAGAAGCCCCGGAUAACUUCGUGCCAGCAGCCGCGGUAAUACGAAGGGGGCUAGCGUUGUUCGGAUUUACUGGGCGUAAAGCGCACGUAGGCGGACUUUUAAGUCAGGGGUGAAAUCCCGGGGCUCAACCCCGGAACUGCCAUUGAUACUGGAAGUCUUGAGUAUGGUAGAGGUGAGUGGAAUUCCGAGUGUAGAGGUGAAAUUCGUAGAUAUUCGGAGGAACACCAGUGGCGAAGGCGGCUCACUGGACCAUUACUGACGCUGAGGUGCGAAAGCGUGGGGAGCAAACAGG